UACAGAGGUGGCAAGCGUUGUUCGGAAUUACUGGGCGUAAAGAGCGCGUAGGCGGUCUUCUAAGUCUUGUGUCGAAAUCCCUCGGCUCAACUGAGGAACUGCACGGGAUACUGGAAGACUUGAGUUCGGGAGAGGGAAGCGGAAUUCCGGGUGUAGCGGUGAAAUGCGUAGAUAUCCGGAAGGAACACCGGUGGCGAAGGCGGCUUGCUGGGCCUUACCUGACGCUGAGGAGCGAAAGCGUGGGGAGCGAACAGGG
rnacentral:rRNA from 1 species